UUUCACGCUGCCAAGAAAAGCCUCUAGCGAGGCGGGAGGUGCCUGUACCGCAAACCGACACAGGUAGGCGAGGAGAGAAUCCUAAGGUGAUCGAGAGAACUCUCGUUAAGGAACUCGGCAAAAUGACCCCGUAACUUCGGGAGAAGGGGUGCUCUGGUAGGGUGUUAAAGCCCGAGAGAGCCGCAGUGAAUAGGCCCAGGCGACUGUUUAGCAAAAACACAGGUCUCUGCAAAACCGCAAGGUGAAGUAUAGGGGCUGACGCCUGCCCGGUGCUGGAAGGUUAAGAGGAGAGGUCAGCGCAAGCGAAGCUUCGAAUUGAAGCCCCAGUAAACGGCGGCCGUAACAAUAACGGUCCUAAGGUAGCGAAAUUCCUUGUCGGGUAAGUUCCGACCCGCACGAAAGGCGUAACGAUCUGGGCACUGUCUCAACGAGAGACUCGGUGAAAUUAUAAUACCUGUGAAGAUGCAGGUUACCCGCGACAGGACGGAAAGACCCCGUGGAGCUUUACUGUAACCUGAUAUUGAAUUCCGGUGCAGCCUGUACAGGAUAGGUAGGAGCCUUGGAUUCCGGAGCGCUAGCUUCGGAUGAGGCGUUGGUGGGAUACUACCCUGGCUGUAUUGGACUUCUAACCCAUGCCCCUUAUCGGGGCAGGAGACAGUGUCAGGCGGGCAGUUUGACUGGGGCGGUCGCCUCCUAAAGAGUAACGGAGGCGCCCAAAGGUUCCCUCAGAAUGGUCGGACAUCAUUCGUAGAGUGCAAAGGCAUAAGGGAGCUUGACUGCGAGACCUACAAGUCGAGCAGGGUCGAAAGACGGGCUUAGUGAUCCGGUGGUUCCGCAUGGAAGGGCCAUCGCUCAACGGAUAAAAGCUACCCCGGGGAUAACAGGCUUAUCUCCCCCAAGAGUCCACAUCGACGGGGAGGUUUGGCACCUCGAUGUCGGCUCAUCGCAUCCUGGGGCUGUAGUCGGUCCCAAGGGUUGGGCUGUUCGCCCAUUAAAGCGGUACGCGAGCUGGGUUCAGAACGUCGUGAGACAGUUCGGUCCCUAUCCGUCGCGGGCGCAGGAAAUUUGAGAGGAGCUGUCCUUAGUACGAGAGGACCGGGAUGGACAUACCUCUGGUGUACCAGUUGUCUUGCCAAAGGCAUCGCUGGGUAGCUAUGUAUGGACGGGAUAAAUGCUGAAAGCAUCUAAGCAUGAAGCCCCCCUCGAGAUGAGAUUUCCCAUUACGCAAGUAAGUAAGAUCCCUCAAAGAAGAUGAGGUUGAUAGGUCUGGGGUA
rnacentral:rRNA from 1 species